CCGUCAACGUAAUCCCUAGCGUUAUCCGAUCCAAGGACACUACCAGGCCGGGAGUUUGACUGGGGCGGUACAUCUGUCAAAUAAUAACGCAGGUGUCCUAUGGUCAGCUCAGCGAGGACAGAAACCUCGCGUAGAGCAAAAGGGCAAAUGCUGGCUUGAUCCCGAUGCUCAGUGCGCAUAGGGACUGCGAAAGCACGGCCUAUCGAUCCUUUUGGCUUGAAGAG
rnacentral:rRNA from 1 species